UCAUCAUGCCUUUAUGACCUGGGCUACACACGUGCUACAAUGGAUGGUACAGAGAGCAGCGAGGCAGCGAUGUGGAGCGAAUCUCAAAAGCCAUUCUCAGUUCGGAUUGGAGUCUGCAACUCGACUCCAUGAAGUCGGAAUCGCUAGUAAUCGCGAAUCAGCAUGUCGCGGUGAAUGCGUUCCCGGGCCUU
rnacentral:rRNA from 1 species